rnacentral:pre_miRNA from 1 species
ACCUUUCUGAAUUCAAGCUGAGAUUUUGUCAGACACUAAACGGCUAGGGCUGACGAGACUCCCUAGAGGUUAGUAAAGUG